AUAAGAACAGUGAAGAGGAGUAGUAGGAAAGCAGUAUUUGUCUUUAGAGAAUUGACGGCUGGUGAAAGUCAAUCAAAUCUGCUUCUGAACUCGCCUCAGAGUUGCAGUUGCGUUAAAGCUUCUGUCGCAUGUCUGCGUUAAAGAUAUUAAGUGAGCGUACAAACAGAAAGUUACGCUAACAAGGGUGGUACCGCGGGAACCAAAAAAUCUCUCGUCCCUUUC
rfam:Bacillus pumilus SAFR-032, complete genome.